UAUUUACAAAAAUUAAGGUUACAUUUAAAAUGUACUUCCCAAAUAAUAGAGUAAGAUGUACUAUUAUUU
rnacentral:sRNA from 1 species